UCCUACGGGACGCAGCAGUAGGGAAUUUUCGUCAAUGGGCGCAAGCCUGAACGAGCAAUGCCGCGUGAACGAGGAAGGUCUUCGGAUCGUAAAGUUCUGUUGAAGGGGAAAAAGAGCGGAGAGAGGAAAUGGUCUCCGAUUGAUAUUACCCUUCGAGGAAGUCACGGCUAACUACGUGCCAGCAGCCGCGGUAAUACAUAGGGAGCAAGCGUUAUCCGGAAUUAUUGGGUGUAAAGGGUGCGUAGACGGGAAAUUAAGUUAGUUGUGAAAUCCCUUGGCUUAACUGAGGAACUGCAACUAAAACU
rnacentral:rRNA from 1 species